GAUGAACGCUGGCGGCAUGCCUAAUACAUGCAAGUCGAGCGAACAGAGGAGGAUCUUGCUCCUCUUAAGUUAGCGGCGGACGGGUAAGUAACAGGUAGAUAACCUACCUAUAAGGCUAGGAUAACGUCAGGAAACCUGAGCUAAUACCGGAUAAUAUAGUGAACCUCAUGGUUCAAUAGUGAAAAACGGUUUUGCUGUCACUUGUACGUAUAUCCGCGCCGGAUUAGCAAGUUGGUAAGGUAACGGCUUACCAAGGCAACGAUGCGUAGCCGACCUGAGAGGGUGAUCGGCCACACUGGAACUGAGACACGGUCCAGACUCCUACGGGAGGCAGCAGUAGGGAAUAUUCCGCAAUGGGCGAAAGCCUGACGGAGCAACGCCGCGUGAGUGAUGAAGGUCUUCGGAUCGUAAAACUCUGUUAGUAGGGAAGAACAAAUGUGUAAGUAACUAUGCACGUCUUGACGGUACCUAAUCAGAAAGCCACGGCUAACUACGUG
rnacentral:rRNA from 1 species